rnacentral:rRNA from 1 species
GUGGGGAAUCUUGCGCAAUGGGCGAAAGCCUGACGCAGCCAUGCCGCGUGAAUGAUGAAGGUCUUAGGAUUGUAAAAUUCUUUCACCGGGGACGAUAAUGACGGUACCCGGAGAAGAAGCUCCGGCUAACUUCGUGCCAGCAGCCGCGGUAAUACGAAGGGGGCUAGCGUUGCUCGGAAUUACUGGGCGUAAAGGGCGCGUAGGCGGACAGCUUAGUCAGAGGUGAAAGCCCAGGGCUUAACCUUGGAAUUGCCUUUGAUACUGGCUGUCUUGAGUUUGGGAGAGGUGAGUGGAACUCCGAGUGUAGAGGUGAAAUUCGUAGAUAUUCGGAAGAACACCAGUGGCGAAGGCGACUCACUGGCCCAAUACUGACGCUGAGGCGCGAAAGCGUGGGGAGCAAACAGGAUUAGAAACCCGGGUAGUCC